AGACCUCAGGUCAGGCGGGGCUACCCGCUGAAUUUAAGCAUAUCAAUAAGCGGAGGAAAAGAAACUAACAAGGAUUCCCUUAGUAACGGCGAGCGAACCGGGAUAAGCCCACCAUGAAAAUCGGUCGCCUUCGGCGUUCGA
rnacentral:rRNA from 2 species